rnacentral:misc_RNA from 1 species
UUAAGUUCAGCGGGUCUUCCUACCUGAUCCGAGGUCAACCUUGGGUAAAUAAGGCUUUUAACGGCCGGAACCCGCAGCACGCCCUGAGCGAGAUGUAUUACUACACUCGGUACGACGACGAGCCCGCCACUGGGUUUGGGAGCUGCGGCAGCCGCAGGGCUCCAACACAAGCGCAGGGGCUUGAUGGUUGAAAUGACGCU